rnacentral:sRNA from 1 species
UUACUGAGGCAGGCUUGAAAGAGCUUUCAGAAUAUGUUCGGAAUCAGCAAACCAUCGGAGCUCGUAAGGAGCUCCAGAAAGAACUUCAAGAACAGAUGUCCCGUGGUGAUCCAUUUAAGGAUAUAAUUUUAUAUGUCAAGGAGGAGAUGAAAAAAAACAACAUCCCAGAGCCAGUUGUCAUCGGAAUAGUCUGGUCAAGUGUAAUGAGCACUGUGGAAUGGAACAAAAAAGAGGAGCUUGUAGCAGAGCAAGCCAUCAAGCACUUGAAGGUAUUAGAACUAUGCCUUGACGAAACAAACUAUUCUACUUUUACAUGGUGAUAAGUGAACUGUGACUAUGCUUUUCCAAGAGGAUUUAUCACAUCCUGUGGUUCCUGGGGAUGGCCCACCAGUAAAUAGACAAAUAGAAACAUUAACUAUCGAUGAUAAUGCUCUGAAUUGGGCUGUGCUUCACAGGUUAAAAACAGGAAUAUGGCCUGGCCAGGCACAAUGG